CAUGAAAAACAACUGAAAGCAUUUUAAUGAGGAUUUCUUAAGUCUGGAAUCUGGGUACUUCCAGUCUUAGGCCAAAGCCACGCUUUUUUUUUUUUUUUUUUUUUUUUUUUAAACAGAGUCUUGCUCUGUCCCCAGACUGGACUGCAGUGGCGAUCUCAGCUCACUGCAACCUCCGACUCCUGGUUUCAAGCCAUUCUCUUGCCUCAGCCUCCCGAGUAGCUGGGAUUACAGGCACGCGCCACCACACCCAGUUAAUUUUUGUAUUUUUAGUAAAGAUGGGGUUUCACCAUGUUGGCCAGGAGGCUGAGGCAGGACAAUGGCGUAAACCCGGGAG
rnacentral:lncRNA from 10 species